rnacentral:rRNA from 1 species
GGAUGCGAUCAUACCAGCACUAAUGCACUGGAUCCCAUCAGAACUCCGAAGUUAAGCGUGCUUGGGCGAGAGUAGUACUAGGAUGGGUGACCUCCUGGGAAGUCCUCGUGUUGCAUUCC